rnacentral:rRNA from 1 species
AGCUCGUGUCGUGAGAUGUUGGGUUAAGUCCCGCAACGAGCGCAACCCUUGUCUUUAGUUGCCAUCAUUAAGUUGGGCACUCUAGAGAGACUGCCAGGGAUAACCUGGAGGAAGGUGGGGAUGACGUCAAAUCAUCAUGCCCCUUAUGCUUAGGGCUACACACGUGCUACAAUGGGUAGUACAGAGGGUUGCCAAGCCGUAAGGUGGAGCUAAUCCCUUAAAGCUACUCUCAGUUCGGAUUGUAGGCUGAAACUCGCCUACAUGAAGCUGGAGUUACUAGUAAUCGCAGAUCAGAAUGCUGCGGUGAAUGCGUUCCCGGGUCUUGUACACACCGCCCGUCACACCACGGGAGUUGGAGACGCCCGAAGCCGACUAUCUAACCUUUUGGAAGAAGUCGUCGAAGGUGGAAUCAAUAACUGGGGUGAAGUCGUAACAAGGUAGCCGUAUCGGAAGGUGCGGCUGGAUCACCUCCUUUCUAAGGA